rnacentral:rRNA from 1 species
AACGAACGCUGGCGGCAGGCCUCAAACAUGCAAGUCUAGGGGGUGCAGCAAUGCAUCACCGGCGGACGGGUGCGUAACGCGUGGGAAUAUACCUUUUGGUUCGGAACAACUGCGGGAAACUGCAGCUAAUACCGAAUGUGCCCUAACGGGAAGAUUUAUCGCCAAAGCAUUAGCCCGCGUAGGAUUAGCUAGUUGGUGAGGUAAUGGCUCACCAAGGCUCCGAUCCUUAGCUGUUCUGAGAGGAAGAUCAGCCACACUGGGACUGAGACACGGCCCAGACUCCUACGGGAGGCAGCAGUUGGGAAUCUUGGACAAUGGGGGAACCCUGAUCCAGCCAUGCCGCGUGAGUGAUGAAGGCCUU